rnacentral:rRNA from 1 species
GUUAUAUGGUCAAGCGAUGAAGCGCAUACGGUGGAUGCCUAGGCAGCCAGAGGCGAUGAAAGACGUGGAAGCCUGCGAUAAGGCUCGGCGAGGUGGCAAACAACCUGUGACCCGGGCAUCUCUGAAUGGGGAAACCCACCCACGGUAACGUGGGUAUCCCGCACUGAAUACAUAGGUGACGGGAGGCGAACCAGGGGAACUGAAACAUCUAAGUACCCUGAGGAAAAGAAAUCAACCGAGAUUCCCCCAGUAGCGGCGAGCGAACGGGGACCAGCCCUUAAGCCGGUGACUGAUUAGACGAACGCGUUGGGAAGCGCGGCCAUAGCGGGUGAUAGCCCCGUAGUCGAAAAUCUGAUCCGGUGAAAUCGAGUAGGUCGGGGCACGAGAAACCUUGACUGAAGACGGGGGGACCAUCCUCCAAGGCUAAAUACUCCUGGCUGACCGAUAGUGAACCAGUACCGUGAGGGAAAGGCGAAAAGAACCCCGGAGAGGGGAGUGAAAUAGAUCCUGAAACCGUAUGCGUACAAGCAGUGGGAGCAGACUCGUUCUGUGACCGCGUACCUUUUGUAUAAUGGGUCAGCGACUUAUUUUCAGUGGCGAGCUUAACCGUAUAGGGGAGGCGUAGGGAAACCGAGUCUUAACUGGGCGACCAGUCGCUGGGAAUAGACCCGAAACCGGGCGAUCUAUCCAUGAGCAGGUUGAAGGUUGAGUAACAUCAACUGGAGGACCGAACCCACGUAUGUUGAAAAAUGCGGGGAUGACUUGUGGAUCGGAGUGAAAGGCUAAUCAAGCCCGGAGAUAGCUGGUUCUCCUCGAAAGCUAUUUAGGUAGCGCCUCACGUAGCACCGCCGGGGGUAGAGCACUGUUUCGGCUAGGGGGUCAUCCCGACUUACCAACCCGAGGCAAACUCCGAAUACCGGUGAGUGACGCGUGGGAGACACACAGUGGGUGCUAACGUCCAUUGUGAAAAGGGAAACAACCCAGACCGUCAGCUAAGGUCCCCAAAUCCUGGUUAAGUGGGAAACGAUGUGGGAAGGCUCAGACAGCUAGGAGGUUGGCUUAGAAGCAGCCAUCCUUUAAAGAAAGCGUAAUAGCUCACUAGUCGAGUCGGCCUGCGCGGAAGAUAUAACGGGGCUAAACCAGGUACCGAAGCUACGGGUUCAUCGAAUGAUGAGCGGUAGAGGAGCGUCGUGUAAGCCAAUGAAGGUGAGUCGAGAGGCUUGCUGGAGGUAUCACGAGUGCGAAUGCUGACAUGAGUAACGACAAGGGAGGNNNNNNNNNNNNNNNNNNNNNNNNNNNNNNNNNNNNNNNNNNNNNNNNNNNNNNNNNNNNNNNNNNNNNNNNNNNNNNNNNNNNNNNNNNNNNNNGAGGUGAAAAACCUCCCCGCCGGAAGACCAAGGGUUUCUGUUCGACGCUAAUCGGAGCAGAGUGAGUCGGCCCCUAAGGCGAGGCCGAAAGGCGUAGUCGAUGGGAAACGGGUUAAUAUUCCCGUACCUCACUGUAUUGCGAUGGGGAGACGGAGAAGGCUAGGUGAGCCAGGCGUUGGUUGUCCUGGUGAAAGUCGGUAGGCUGGAGAAUCAGGCAAAUCCGGUUCUCCAAGGCCGAGAGACGAGACGAACGGACCACGGUCCGGAAGUCAUUGAUGCCACGCUUCCAGGAAAAACCUCUAAGCUUCAGAUACAGUGGGACCGUACCCCAAACCGACACAGGUGGUCAGGGUGAGAAUCCUAAGGCGCUUGAGAGAACUCGGGUGAAGGAACUAGGCAAAAUGGUGCCGUAACUUCGGGAGAAGGCACGCCGCCGGUACGUGAAACCCCUCGCGGGUGGAGCCGAAAGCGGUCGAAGAUACCAGGUGGCUGCAACUGUUUAUUAAAAACACAGUACUCUGCAAACGCGUAAGCGGACGUAUAGGGUAUGACGCCUGCCCGGUGCCGGAAGGUUAAGUGAUGGUGUUAGCGCAAGCGAAGCUCUUGAUCGAAGCCCCGGUAAACGGCGGCCGUAACUAUAACGGUCCUAAGGUAGCGAAAUUCCUUGUCGGGUAAGUUCCGACCUGCACGAAUGGCGUAAUGAUGGCCACGCUGUCUCCACCCGAGACUCAGUGAAAUUGAAAUCGCAGUGAAGAUGCUGUGUACCCGCGGCUAGACGGAAAGACCCCGUGAACCUUUACUAUAGCUUCACACUGGACGCUGAUGUUGCUUGUGUAGGAUAGCUGGGAGGCUUGGAAACUCGGACGCCAGUUCGAGUGGAGCCAACCUUGAAAUACCAGCCUGGCAUCAUUGGCGUUCUAACUCAGGUCCGUCAUCCGGAUCGAGGACCGUGUGUGGUGGGUAGUUUGACUGGGGCGGUCUCCUCCCAAAGAGUAACGGAGGAGCACGAAGGUACCCUCAGUACGGUUGGAAAUCGUGCAUUGAGUGCAAGAGCAUAAGGGUGCUUGACUGCGAGACAGACACGUCGAGCAGGUACGAAAGUAGGUUCUAGUGAUCCGGUGGUUCUGUAUGGAAGGGCCAUCGCUCAACGGAUAAAAGGUACUCCGGGGAUAACAGGCUGAUACCGCCCAAGAGUUCACAUCGACGGCGGUGUUUGGCACCUCGAUGUCGGCUCAUCACAUCCUGGGGCUGAAGUCGGUCCCAAGGGUAUGGCUGUUCGCCAUUUAAAGUGGUACGCGAGCUGGGUUUAGAACGUCGUGAGACAGUUCGGUCCCUAUCUGCCGUGGGCGUUGGAGAUUUGAGAAGAGCUGCUCCUAGUACGAGAGGACCGGAGUGGACGCACCUCUGGUGUUCCGGUUGUCACGCCAGUGGCAUUGCCGGGUAGCUAUGUGCGGACAGGAUAACCGCUGAAAGCAUCUAAGCGGGAAGCCCCCUUCAAGAUGAGAUCUCCCCGAGGCCUCGAGCCUCCUGAAGGGCCCAGCGAGACCAGCUGGUUGAUAGGCCGGAUGUGGAAGCGCUGCAAGGCGUUGAGCUAACCGGUACUAAUGGCCCGUGAGGCUUGACCAUAUAACACCCAAGGGGU